rnacentral:rRNA from 1 species
UGGGGUGAAGUCGUAACAAGGUAGCCGUAGGGGAACCUGCGGCUGGAUCACCUCCUUUCUAGGGAGUAAG